rnacentral:rRNA from 1 species
AGUUUGAUCCUGGCUCAGAUUGAACGCUGGCGGCAUGCCUUACACAUGCAAGUCGAACGGCAGCACGGGAGCAAUCCUGGUGGCGAGUGGCGAACGGGUGAGUAAUAUAUCGGAACGUGCCCAGUCGUGGGGGAUAACGUAGCGAAAGCUACGCUAAUACCGCAUACGAUCUAUGGAUGAAAGCGGGGGAUCGCAAGACCUCGCGCGAUUGGAGCGGCCGAUAUCAGAUUAGCUAGUUGGUGGGGUAAAGGCCCACCAAGGCGACGAUCUGUAGCUGGUCUGAGAGGACGACCAGCCACACUGGAACUGAGACACGGUCCAGACUCCUACGGGAGGCAGCAGUGGGGAAUUUUGGACAAUGGGCGCAAGCCUGAUCCAGCAAUGCCGCGUGCAGGACGAAGG